UUUGGUCGUCCGAGUUGUAUUCUAGAGAAGUGUUUUCCGCGUUGGACCGUGUAUAAGUCUCUUGGAAUAGAGCGUCAUAGAGGGUGAGAAUCCCGUCUUUGACACGGACUACCAAUGCUUUGUGAUACACUCUCAAAGAGUCGAGUUGUUUGGGAAUGCAGCUCAAAAUGGGUGGUAAAUUCCAUCUAAAGCUAAAUAUUGGCGAGAGACCGAUAGCGAACAAGUACCGUGAGGGAAAGAUGAAAAGCACUUUGGAAAGAGAGUUAAACAGUACGUGAAAUUGCUGAAAGGGAAACGCUUGAAGUCAGUCGCGUUAGCUAGAACUCAACCAGGCUUGCUUGGCGUAUUUUCUAGUUAACGGGCCAGCAUCAGUUUUGACCGCAGGAAAAGGGCCAGGGAAAUGUGGCAUCUUCGGAUGUGUUAUAGUCUCUGGUCGUAUACUGUGAUUGGGACUGAGGACCGCAGCACGUGCAAGCUGUGCUUAGGAUGCUGGCGUAAUGGCUUUAAACGACCCGUCUUGAAACACGGAC
rnacentral:rRNA from 1 species